UACGUAGGGUGCAAGCGUUGUCCGGAAUUAUUGGGCGUAAAGAGCUCGUAGGCGGUCUGUCGCGUCUGCUGUGAAAACUCGGGGCUUAACCCCGGGCCUGCAGUGGGUACGGGCAGACUAGAGUGCGGUAGGGGAGACUGGAAUUCCUGGUGUAGCGGUGAAAUGCGCAGAUAUCAGGAGGAACACCGGUGGCGAAGGCGGAUCUCUGGGCCUUACCUGACGCUCAGGCGCGAAAGCUAGGGGAGCGAACAGG
rnacentral:rRNA from 1 species